GAAGUGUUCGGAUUGGCAGCUUAGGGUGGCAACACCUCAGGUCUGCCGAAAAGUUCAUUAAACCCUCCCACCUAGAGGAAGGAGAAGUCGUAACAAGGUUUCCGUAGGUGAACCUGCGGAAGGAUCAUUGA
rnacentral:rRNA from 1 species